CGUUUCCAAACCGUCUCCGGCCUCUCCAGAUUUUUUUUUUUUUAACUAAUACCGAAGAUUCGUUUUUGGAGAUCUCACUAAUGUUUUUGCAUAUCUCACACUAUUCAGCCUUUUGAAGUUCUUUGAUGCUCGAUUGGCUUCACCACCAUCAACUCAUCUCAUUCGAAAUCUAGAGUGUUUGUUGUGCAAGGACAUUCUUAGGAUGGAAAGUGAGAGAGAAGAAGUCAAGAAUGGUGGUGUUGAGGAGGAUGAGAGAGCGCUGAAGCGGAAGAGAGAGAAGGAGUGGGCUGCUUCAUCACCUCCACCACUGGAUGAUAUCACAGACGACCAAGAUAACGCCUUUAAGGUUCGUGGAAAGAAUUCACGCCGCAUUGAAGUUUGCCGCGAUUGCCCCUUAUCUCGAUACAGUCAUCGUCAGGGUAUUAUCUUCCACGCUGAUUAUAUGAGUGGCAUUUGAGAGAAAAAGAGAAGAAGAAACAAAUGAGCACAGAGGACAAAAAAUCUUUGGAAGAAGAAAAACUGAAGCAAGAGCAGAAUAUAUAUGUGGGUUGUUGUUGACGGUGUUAAAGAGAAGGUAAUUUUCUCCAUUGCGUUGUCAUGUUCCCAAGUCAGAGUUCCUCGCUCAAACUUCUGUUUAUCUUUUCAGAGCCGUGGAGAGCAUCCAAGAUGGUAAAACCAAAGAAUGGUAUCCAUCCAUCUGAUAUCACCAUGGACAUUGGGAAAGGUGUUCCUGUUCCAGAAUAUUUGUUGGAUUUGGCAGAAAGUCAGCUCAGAAAAUGACAAAGGUUUCCAGUGUUUCUUGGACAAUGCUCAGUACAAAUCCAGCGGGAUCCUACGCUAUGAGCGUGUCUUUGGACAAGGGUAUGUGAGCACUGGUGGAAUCGAGACAACCAAAGAAUUUAUGGAGAAAAUGGAUCUGGAACCAAGACAGAAAGUGUUAAAUGUUGGUUGUGGCACUGGUGGAGGUAACUUCUACAUGGCUUAGAACUUCGAUGUUCAUGUUGUUGGUAUCAAUCUCUUCGUCAACAUGAUUUUAUUUGCAUUGGAACGUGCUAUUGGAUUCAGCUGCUUGGUUGAGUUUAAGGUUGCGGAUUGCACCACAAAACAUUACCCGGAGAAUUCGUUUGAUGUCAUUUACAGCCGUGACACAUUAUUCUGCACAUCCAACAUUGUUCGAGGCUUUCUUCAAGUGGCUUAAACCAGGAGGCAAAGUGCUCAUCAGCGACUACUGUAAGAGCUCCUAAACUACAUCUCCCGAGUUUUCAGAGUACAUCAAGCAGAGAGGAUAUGAUCUCCCUGAUGUUCAAGCUUAUGGGCAGCUAGCAGUGCCUUGAAAGGUUAGAGUGACAAGGAGAAGUAUGAGAAAGCCAAAAAUCUUACGAACCACAUAGACAGUAUAAGAGCAAAUCCUACUGCAGAACCACAUAGACAGUACAAUAGCAAAUCUUUACGCUAUUAUGUUGAUGUCAGGUUGUAACAAUGAUGAGUUUCUUGGAUAUGGCAUUGAAUCAGGAGAAAAUCCUUCUGUUAGAAAGAAAAGAUCGGCUUUCUUUUUCAUUAUGUAGAGAAUUUGCAAAUUCCAGGAGAAUCUAAGAAUUAGAGAUGUGAGGCUGUGAAGACAAUGAUGAACUACUUAGAGAGGGCAUUGAAUCAGGAGUCAUUAGAUACUCUGCAAAUUUCAUGAGAAUCUUAGAAUUAGAGGUCUUAGUGUGAGCCUCAUGAUGACCUUUACUUUCCUAUGUUUUUGUUUCGUUACUCUGCUUUGUUGGACAUUCUGGGACAUUUUUGGAAUUAUAUGAAUCAUGCUUCUUUGGUUUGUGCUUU